rnacentral:rRNA from 1 species
AUGUAUCCUGAAGAUCAUGAGAUGGACAAAGAAGAUCUGAUAUGGAAGUGGAUUUGCGAAAAAUUUGUGCAGCAUGGAAAGCACCAGACUAGUAUCUUUGAAGUUGGGGAAACUUAUUUUAACGAGCUCAUAAACAGAUACAUGAGUAUACCAAUAUUUAAUGGUUUUCGUGAAGUACAAAGUUGUCGAGUGCAUGACAUGGUGCUUGAUCUGAUUCGUUCCUUGUCAGCUGAAUCAAAGUUUUUGAAAAUAUUGGAAAGUAAUAAGGAUAUCACUAGUUCUCAGAACAAUAUCCGUAGAUUGUCCCUCCAAAAUAUUGAGGAAGAUCAAGAAACUACACUUCUUGCUAAUUCAAUGAGUAUAUCACAAGUAAGGUCCAUCACUGUCUUUCCACUAGCCAUGACUAUCAUGCCGGCUAUAUCUAGCUUUGGUGUUUUACGUGUGUUGGACUUACAUCGAUGCCGUAUUGGGGCACUUAACUCUCAGCCUAAGGUGAGGGAUAUCGGGUACUUAUUUCACCUGAGGUACCUAGGUCUAGAAAGAACUGGUAUCUCUGAAAUCCCGGAGGAAAUAGGAAAUCUACAGUUUCUACAAGUGUUAGAUUUAGACUGCAAUUUUGAGAUGAGAGUGUUGCCGUCAUCCAUGUGGAAGCUAAGACAGCUAAUGUCCAUAAAGGUUUUAUUUCGCUGCUAUUGGCCCCCUGGUGUGUUGGGUAACCUGACUUCAUUGGAAGUAUUGGAGACCAUUUAUGCCUCCCCGAGCACUGCGCAAGAGCUUGGCAACCUAGCAAGGCUGAGGGAGCUCGACAUUCACUUCCUUGCUUGGAGCCUCGAGGUAGAGGAAACUUUUGUGGAGACUAUAUUCAAACUGCAUGAUAUCCAAAGUCUAAGUAUUACAUGUGACGAUGUACAAUACUUGGAUCUCUUGGGGGGACACUGGGAACCCCCUCGAUGUCUCCGCAAAUUUGCGUUCAGCUCAGACCACAUCACAUGCUCUUCAUUGCCAGUGUGGAUAAUGAGAAGUGGCCCCGCACAGCUAUCAAACCUAUCUAAGUUCGACAUCAUAGUCAAGGAAGUUAGGCAGGAGGAUGUGCAAAUCCUUGAGAGGUUGCCAGCUCUUAUACAUCUCUUAGUAUGGAGCCACCAAACAGAAAGGCUGCUUGUCAUCGGUUCAGAUGAGUUCUGUUGUGUGAUAGCCUUUGGAAUGCAUUGUGAGCCAGCCACGCAGUUAGUCUUCCGACAAGGAGCUUUGCUAAAUGCCGAACUCGUCCGAUUCAACCUGGGCGUGCGCGUGGCCAUAGAAGAUGGUAACAACGAUCUGUUUGAGAUCGGCCUGGGUAACCUGCUUUCACUUCAGAGUGCAUUAGUUGAAAUCCAUUGGGAUGGGGUCACCAAUAUGGAAGCUGCCAAAGCAUAUGCCGCAGUGAAAAAUGCAAUGAACGCCCAACCUAGACAUCCAAGCAUUGACAUUUAUAUGUAUCCAGAGAAACCAGAAGGUACAAACUACCAAAACAACACAUGA